UACGGGGGGGGCAAGCGUUGCUCGGAAUCACUGGGCGUAAAGCGCACGUAGGUGGGUCGCUAAGUCGGGGGUGAAAUCCUGGAGCUCAACUCCAGAACUGCCUUCGAUACUGGCGAUCUUUGAGUCCGGGAGAGGUGGGUGGAACUGCGAGUGUAGAGGUGAAAUUCGUAGAUAUUCGCAAGAACACCAGUGGCGAAGGCGGCUCACUGGCCCGGUACUGACACUGAGGUGCGAAAGCGUGGGGAGCAAACAGG
rnacentral:rRNA from 1 species